GUCGCGUCGUCUGAGUUCCUCUGUGAAGUUUCCGUGUACUUAAUGUUAGUUGGUAUUUCUCCAUGUCUCUCUGUUCUCUGCUCCAUGUCCUCCCUUUUGUAUUAGGUUUCCCAGUUUAGGUUUAUGUUUAGUUCUGCCCACAUCUUGGUUAUUGUUCUCUGUUAAUAAAUCCCACUUGCACCUCCGCCAUCGUCUGCCCCUGGAUCCUCCUUUCUCACCUUCAUACGACUGCUGCCCCAGCCGUGACAGUAACAAUCUGGGGGAGAUGCCGGGGUAAAAAAUAGUGAGCUCGGACGAAGGGGUCCGAGAAAAAGACACCGUGAGUUGAGCAAGGUGUUUAACUGACUCAGGAUUUCAGAGAAUCGAGUCAGCUGUGAUGUUGAGUUUUAACGGUAAGUUGAUUUUAAAGGAAAAUCAAUGUUUACCAUGUUGAAGUAAUUCUGAUGAUAUUACUAGAUGUGUUGUGAUACAAGUAAAGAAUAAGUUGUGUAAAGGUGAACACACGAUUGUGUUGAGAUGUAUGGAUCGGCUGCCGUCCACCUGAUAAGUUAAUACUGGGUAAACUGAGACAAUAAACUGUUUUUAAAUCUUCACUGGCUGCAGUGAGAUGCAUGUGCUGAAGAUUACUGGACCCGGCGAGGUCCAUAUGAUGAAGUUCUUGGGGAGAUAAAUGACAGAAACAGUUUCUGAAUUUUGAGGAGAAUUCUGAAGCACUGAGGUUGAAUUUUCUCUGUGCUUGGUGCGCUGUGUGGACUUAUAUCAGAGUUAUAAGUCCAAAGCUUAUGACCUGGAAGUCAUUCAUGGUGUUUAAAGAAGAACAGGAAUUAGAAAAGGAUAUUUAAUGUCAUAUUUUGUGUAAAUUGAGGAAAACUCACCACAUGUGUUCACCUUUUUUCAUUUAAAGGGACACAGACAUUAACACACACACACAGUUCUUGGGUGUGAGUUACUUCCUCUUUUAAUUUUAAACCGCGACAUGUGUGCAUUGAACUAGAAUUUCAGCAGUGGAUGAGACAGGAUUUAGGUUAGGGCUAGUUAAAGAUAAAGAUGACUUUUAUUAGUUCCACAGGUGGGAAAUUUGUUUUGUUAAAGCAAAAGUGCAAAGUUAUGCAGCAGAAAUUAGAAAACACUGGAAUGCAAUAAAAUAAAGUAGAAUAGAAUAAAAUAGAAUACCAAUACUAUAUACAGCUGAGUAAGAAAAUACAAAAUACAACUUUGUCAAAGAAAGAAUUGCACAUAUAGCAGUCUUAUUGCACGUAUGAGGGUUCUGGUAAAGUACUAGUUCUGGUAAAAGUAAAAACUUAGGUUUAAAGUUUUAUGCCCUGGAGGCCAAGAGUCGUGUGUAGAGAAGAACAUGACUUGGAAACGGACAUUUAAGGUCACAUUUUGUCUAAGAUGGGGAGAAUUGUCCCAUGUGUUUAUUUCUCUUCUUUUUAAGAGGACAGACGCACUGAGUGUUGUCUACUUGCUCUUUCUGAUUCUAAGCAACCAUGUUUGAUAAAAUACUCUUAGGAAAGCGUAUUUUGAGUGCUUCUAAGUGUGUGAAUGUUGUGAGUACUUGAUUUGAAUGAUUCUGUGUGAUUUGUACAAAAUAAUAAAUAAGUAAUAAUAACUCAUAGGAGAGUGCGUGAAUAGAGGAGGCCUGAGAGAGUGUGUGUGCGUCAAACAGGAAGUCUGAUUAUAGCUGGGGAGAGACGUUGCAGCAUGAAAACAGAGGAAUUAGAGACUGAAUGUCCUAAGAAAAAGUAAUAAAAUUAUAUUAAUUACAUGUUUUAGAAAAAGAAAGACUGAGAAAAUAAAUACAUGAACUAACAAUUACAUUAAUGAAUAGAAAACACACGUACACAAAUUGUUACAGGUGAAAUGUUGGGAAUAAUCAAGAAGUGAGAUAGCAUAAUAUACUGAUGAAAUGAAGAAAGCAGCUUACACUCCUUUGAUUUCCAGAGUCAGUGUGUCCCCUCCCCUCAUAGCACCCGUGCCCACUUGGCCCCCGUAUCAGGCGAAGCAUGGAAGGCUGGACAGCCCAUGACGGGUAAGAUCCCACCUCGAAACCCUGGGACAACCUAAGGCAAGGCGCAGUCACGAUUGCUUGAACCUAGGUCCCUAAGUGAGCUUGGACUCACUGGAGGAGACGGGACUUCAAGGGUAAAGCCGCUGGGGCAGAGGAGGAAAUGUCAUUAACAAUGACGAGUGAUGAGCCAAAGAGGGGAGACACUCACUGUCUUUCAGGGUGAAUUGUUCCCUGAACCUGAAAAUCAAGCUUUAACUUCUAGCUGAGGACAAGGAAUGUUGUUAUUUAAGGAGGGAGAUCAAAUUUGGGAAAGAGAAAAACUGACUGUUUAAGUGGAACUUUGUGAGGGAGUCUGAAAAAACCACGAAAAGAAACACAUACACAAUCACACACACACAAAUAGAAAAUGCGUUAACCUUAGAAUACAAAAGAGUUCAUGAAGAUCAGAUAGCAGGUUUAGCAUAGGAGUCUGUUUAUCAUGUUGUCCAACUCGCUUAGUGUGUAGUAGUUUUCAGAAGAGAAAAUUUAGAAUUUAGUGAUGAUGGUGUGCAAGUUGUGUGGUGUUUAAUGAGAUUUUCUGUGUUUUGAGCAGGUGAGGUGAUGUUAGUUGACCUGAGAGUGUCAGGACCCUGAAGAACUUGUGGCAAAAUGUUCUGUGUUUAAGAUUGUUGAGGUUGUUGUUGUAGUGAUGGGUUACUUCUAUCGGUUAGAUUUGUGUCGUUUUCUUAUUUUAAUAGAGGGAGUUUUAUCAAACAUGCACAUGUCUAAGGGGGUCCAUCAUUUUUGUGACAGUGCACUUAGAAAAACCUGUCAGGUGAUUUUGUUUUGUGUUUUGGUGAGCCAAUAAUCAGCUCUCUUUUUUCUCAUUUUUGUUCUAAGCAGGCCUGCAAAAGAGUGAAUAACAGCGCUGACAAAAGUCUCAGGACAACAAAGAUAAGGUGACCUUCUCCAGAUUACAAUGGGCAGAGGAGAAGGCUAAGUCUCUGUCUAAAAGGAUUGCCGCGAGCCAAUCCAGUCCAAAAGCAGAAAGAACUAUUUUCCUAAAAACAAAAUAAAACAAAUGAAUGAGCGCAUGUUGCUCAGAGUGAAGACUCUGAUUAUUUGCGAGGGAGUCCACACUAUCAGCAAGACCUGAUGUUAAUGCAUGUGAGUGAAUGUGUGUACAUGGAUGGUGACUGGACGGACCAGGCAGGCCAUAGGUUGGACCGACUGGACACUGAGAUAAAGACUGGACUAAGGUUAGACACAUGACUGAUAACUGUUCUGUUUUAAGUUUCCUUUCCUAUAACACAGGUUGGAUCAUAAGUGGGGAAAAACUGAGUAUGAAAUGUGAAGUUCUGGUUAACACACAGGUUUUUGUUUCUAGGAAGUUCCAAGGAUGCAGGCUGUGCAUGGAGCCAAGAAAAGAUUUGACAUAAUGAUUAAUUUGAUUUCAUUCCUUAAACACAGGUUUGAAGGGCUGGAGCAUGAAUAUCUAAUAUGAUAUGACUAACCUUUUUCUUUUAAUCUCCUAAGCUCGAGUGAAGGAUUUUGAGUUUGUAACACAUAAGAUGUGUCACAAAAGGGGGAAGUUACAGGAUUUAAGGUUUAAUUUGAAAGGGGUUUUAGGAUUGUUUUAUGACGUUUGGGGUUUUUGAUAAUUUAGAUAUAGAAAUUGUUUUGUGGUUCUUUUUGAUCUGUUUCUAUGCUCAGAUGGUGAUGGUUUAUAUCUUACCCUGGGCGUGUUUAAUAAAACUAAAAGUGUUGCUCACACACAUGAAGGGCAUGGAGAUUAAGUAAAGUUAAUAUAAAGGACAGAGCCCAGAACAUGAUAUGGUGAAACAACUUUGAAUGAUUAAAGGAACCUUAGAUGAACACAGUAGAUUAGUGAGGUGUAGCAGAGAGAGGCUGUUUGUUUUCUAUCCUUUACAGGAGAAGAUUUCAGGACCACAGCGACUACAGGGGUGGCAAGAAUCCUCGAAGCCUGAGACCGAACGGAACCAACCAGAGAAAGGAGAAAAACAGAGCACAAAUACACCUAGUUGUUUAUAUUACAAAGAAGAUCAAAAGCUUGUUAGACACAGGUUAUAAUGGAAGCAUAAAAGGGAUGAGAGGAACUUUACAUAACAUAGAAAUCCUGCAACAAUUCGUAAAUUGCCCAAACACAGUGUUCAGACCGGAUAUGCGCUACCCGUUAAAGGGGGCGAAGAAAUCAGGCCCAAGUUUGAAAAAUGAAAUGGGUUAACUCGAUAGAGGAGGUUUCCAAAGGUUGAGAAAAUAAUGUAGGACCUUUUACCAGGAGAAAGCUAAUUGUAUCUUUUACACUUUACAGUGUGCACUGAGGGAAGUCAGGAAUAGUUUAAACUAGGAUUGAAAAAAUUAAACUAGGUGAAAAAAGGGGUGUAGCAAGUAGAUUUAGGGCAGCUCACAGCCUGGCGUAAACGCAAGGUGCCGUCACACAGCUUAAGUUAUUUGUUUGAUUUAUUUUUAUGACAAAAUAAUAAGGAAACAUUGAAAACAUACAACCCGUUAUUAUUAAAUAUUAGGUCUCUCACCCCCGGAAGAUGAUUGAAUAAAGAAAGACAGGUACUUAUGUAUGUCAGCAUAAGGUGGAGUCCAACAGAAGCAAGGCACCCUACAUGCGCACAGCAUGCAGCAGGGGUUGCCAAAAUAAUGUAGAAAACAGCACAUGUAGUGAGAGAACACUCACUAAAAGUUCUGAUUACACAUAGUGUGGUGGCAUAUGUGAACUCGCAGGCGUUCACUAUGACAUCAUUAGCACAACAGGGACUGAGUAAAGUUUUAGAUGCUCCAAAUCUGACAUUUACACAUGAAGGAAUCAAUAUGGCAGAUUUAAUGGGAUCAGGAAAACCUCAUGAUUGUACUAAGAAAGCAGAAGUUGAAGGGAAAGUCAGGGAAGAUUUAAAAGCAGAACCUAUCCCUGGAGCUGAGGAUUGGUUCAUAGAUGGCUGCUGUCAUCGUGAUGAAGAAGGAUCGAAAGCAGGCUAUGCUAUAGUCUGCAAACAAGGAACUGAAUUUGAGCCCACGAGGAACUCCAGCAGUGGAAGGAGCCACGCUGGACUGGUCCUUAUGAGGUCGUUGCCAGAACAACUACAGCAGGUCAACUAAAAGGGAAAGGCGAUACCUGGUAUCAUUGGUCGCAGUGUGCGCCAGCACAUGAGAGGUUGGUAGAGGAAAACCCCUCUACACCCAACACAGGUGGUAACGAGCAGAGGCAAAAUAAAUCCUCUCACCUGUGCAACGGGCCAACCAGUAGUCCACCUGGGAGGCCGAAGAGAGAAGAGCAGCAGCUGAGAAGGUCGCCACGCCAGCAGAAAGGAGCGGUGACAAGUUGAGGACUCCACAAAACCAGGGGAGUUUCAUUCCAGGAUACAAAGUUUAUAUAACAUGAUGCAAACACACGAAUCAGAGACACGUAAUAAGAAAACUGAUUAGAAUGUUCCUUACAACUACAUGUUUAUUGUAUGCAAUGAUAUUAACUAUGGCUGUGUUAUUUAUUGUCUAUAUUUUGCAGGGCACUCCGGACCACUUGUCUGAACACGGAGGCCAGUCCAGCCCAGCGCUUCCUGAGACUGUAGUUGCUAAAACAGGAUCGGUAAAAAGACAAAAGCGCGAGGUGUCAGGGAUGCCAUGAUGGGGUUCGCAGAACAAUUGGGUCCGAGUUUGCUGAUGGGAAAUCGAAUGGCCCUUAACAUGAGAAGGGAG
ensembl:lncRNA